rnacentral:misc_RNA from 1 species
UUUCCGUAGGUGAACCUGCGGAAGGAUCAUUACCACAAAAAAAACAUAUGCUCUUAUGUGUGUUCUUUUUUAUUUCUUACAUAAACCGUGCACAGAUGAAUAUAUUUUUUGGGUUUUGAUAGUAACACAUCUAGAAAAGGAAAUAUAGGGUUAUUUUACUCAGUAUAGAUGGCGUUUUCUAUUAAGCUCAAAUGAUAUUUCAUCUAUUUUGUGAUUUUUCUACACGAAAACACAUCAUUCGAUUCUCGCCUUAAAAUUAAUUUUUUAUGGUGAAAUAAACUUUAAAAUUAUUUAAAGACAAUUUUUAACCGUAAUAGUUAAAAAUUGAUUUAAAAUAAAACUCUGUACAACUUUUAACAACGGAUCUCUUGGUUCUC